CGGAAGAAGCCAGUUUACUGAGAGUGACACACCAUUCAGGCUUGUAUUUAAAAAUCGGGAAAAAAAAAUAUUCUGCCAAGGUUUUUGGGGUUUUGAUAUUCACUUUGCUCUGAAACAUGACAUCCUUAUUAUGCAGUGAAGGGAAGAGAAAAUCUGAGGCAAGUACAAGGAAUAAAAGGUCAUGAAAUAAAGAAAAUCCUUUAAUAUAAAAGAACAGACGACGGACGAUGCCUGAAAAGCUACAGAACAUCUGAUCUCCAAAGAAGACAGGAGACACCACUGACAGCCUGCUUCUCUAAGACAGGAAUCACACAAGCAGGUCUUCUGACCCAAACACUGGAGCAGACCUAAAGGCCUCAUGCAGACGACCGUUCCGUUUUUUGCUUAUCCGCAGUUUGCGGACUGCAAAAAAAAUGGAAGCUGCCCGUGUGCCUUCUGCAAUUUA